rnacentral:rRNA from 1 species
AAUCAACGCUGGCGGCGUGCCUAACACAUGCAAGUCGAACGAGAAGGUGACUUCGGUCACUGGAUAGUGGCGUCCGGGUGAGUAACACGUAGGUAAUCUACCUUCGGGUGGGGAAUAACGUCUCGAAAGAGACGCUAAUACCGCAUAAUGCAGCGGCACCUAAUGGUGAUUAGUUGUUAAAGCGGGGGAUCUUCGGACCUCGCGCCUGAAGAGGAGCCUGCGGCAGAUUAGCUAGUUGGUGAGGUAAUGGCUCACCAAGGCUUCGAUCUGUAGCUGGUCUGAGAGGACGGCCAGCCACACUGGCACUGACACACGGGCCAGACUCCUACGGGAGGCAGCAGUGGGGAAUUUUGGGCAAUGGGCGAAAGCCUGACCCAGCAACGCCGCGUGAAGGAGGAAAUCCUUCGGGAUGUAAACUUCAUAAGUAAGGGAAGAAGCUGCGGAUCGAAUAAGUCCGCAGUCCGACGGUACCUUACGUAAGCCACGGCUAACUACGUGCCAGCC